AUUGAACGCUGGCGGCAGGCUUAACACAUGCAAGUCGAACGAGUGGCGGACGGGUGAGUAAUGCUUGGGAAUCUAGCUUAUGGAGGGGGAUAACUACGGGAAACUGUAGCUAAUACCGCGUACCAUAGGAUGAGCCCAAGUGGGAUUAGGUAGUUGGUGAGGUAAAGGCUCACCAAGCCGACGAUCUCUAGCUGGUCUGAGAGGAUGACCAGCAAACCUGGGACGUAGACCCGGCCCAGCCUCCUACGGGAGGCAGCAGUGGGGAAUAUUGCGCAAUGGGGGCGACCUGACGGAGCCAGGCCGGGUGAAUGAAGAAGGCCUGCGGGUUGUGAAGUUCUUUCGGUAGCGAGGCGGUAACUACAGAAGAAGCACCGGCUAACUCCGUUCCAGCAGCCGCGGUAAUAC
rnacentral:rRNA from 1 species